rnacentral:pre_miRNA from 1 species
CCUCCGUCCGGAAAUACUUGUCAUCAAAAUGGAUAAAAGGAAAUGUAUCUAGACAUAUUUUAGUUUUAGAUACAUCUCUUUUUAUCCAUUUUGAUGACAAGUAUUUUCGGACGGAGGGAGUAGAAA